GCUAGCAGCCAUGUCACCUUGUAACUUACGAUUGGCAAUCCACUGAAGCUCAGCAGGUGAGAGCCUGGUCAGUACCUAGAUGGGAGACCUCCUGUGAAAAACUAAGGUUGCCGCUGGAA
rnacentral:rRNA from 1 species